GUGGGGAAUAUUGGGCAAUGGGCGCAAGCCUGACCCAGCAACGCCGCGUGAAGGAAGAAGGCUUUCGGGUUGUAAACUUCUUUGACAGGGGACGAAACAAAUGACGGUACCCUGAAAACAAGCCACGGCUAACUACGUGCCAGCAGCCGCGGUAAUACGUAGGUGGCAAGCGUUAUCCGGAUUUACUGGGUGUAAAGGGCGUGUAGGCGGGAUUACAAGUCAGAUGUGAAAACUAUGGGCUCAACCCAUAGCCUGCAUUUGAAACUGUAGUUCUUGAGUGAUGGAGAGGCAGACGGAAUUCCUCGUGUAGCGGUGAAAUGCGUAGAUAUGAGGAGGAACACCAGUGGCGAAGGCGGUCUGCUGGACAUUAACUGACGCUGAGGCGCGAAAGCGUGGGGAGCAAACAGGAUUAGAAACCCGGGUAGUCC
rnacentral:rRNA from 1 species